rnacentral:rRNA from 1 species
AAUCUUCCGCUAUGGACGAAAGUCUGACGGAGCAACGCCGCGUGAGUGAUGAAGGUCUUCGGAUCGUAAAGCAAUGUUGUUAGGGAAGAACAAGUAUCGUUCGAAUAGGGCGGUACCUUGACGGUGCCUACCCAUAAAGCCACGGCUAACUACGUGCCAGCAGCCGCGGUAAUACGUAGGGGGCUGGCGUGAGCCGGAAUUAUUGGGCGUAAAGCGCACGCAGGCGGUUUCUUAAGUCUGAUGUGAAAGCCCACGGCUCAACCGUGGAGGGUCAUUGGAAACUGGGAAGCUUGAGUGCGGAAGAGGAGAGUGGAAUUCCAUGUGUAGCGGUGAAAUGCGUAGAGAUAUGAAGGAACACCAGUGGCGAAGGCGACUCUCUGGUCUGCAACUGACGCUGAGGCGCGAAAGCGUGGGGAGCGAA